GACGAACGCUGGCGGCGUGCUUAACACAUGCAAGUCGAACGGAAAGGCCCUGCUUUUGUGGGGUGCUCGAGUGGCGAACGGGUGAGUAACACGUGAGUAACCUGCCCUUGACUUUGGGAUAACUUCAGGAAACUGGGGCUAAUACCGGAUAGGAGCUCCUGCUGCAUGGUGGGGGUUGGAAAGUUUCGGCGGUUGGGGAUGGACUCGCGGCUUAUCAGCUUGUUGGUGGGGUAGUGGCUUACCAAGGCUUUGACGGGUAGCCGGCCUGAGAGGGUGACCGGCCCAAUGGGACCGAGAAUAGGCCCCGACUUCUAAGGGAGGGCGGAGUGGGGAAUAUUGCACAAUGGGCGGAAGCCUGAUGCAGCAACGCCGCGUGCGGGAUGACGGCCUUCGGGUUGUAAACCGCUUUCGCCUGUGACGAAGCGUGAGUGACGGUAAUGGGUAAAGAAGCACCGGCUAACUACGUG
rnacentral:rRNA from 1 species